UGGUCCUGGCUCUGGGGAGAUGCGGGGGCCUCUUUGUGGACUAAGGGCUGAGAGAAGACUAUUGCUCAACCCCAGCCCGUUUUCCAGAGGUCUCCCUUUCUCCAGCGCCUCACCG